rnacentral:rRNA from 1 species
UAGGGAAUAUUGGACAAUGGGGGCAAGCCCUGAUCCCAGCAAUGCCGCGUGAGUGAUGAAGGCCUUAGGGUUGUAAAGCUCUUUUACCCGGGAUGAUAAUGACAGUACCGGGAGAAUAAGCCCCGGCUAACUCCGUGCCAGCAGCCGCGGUAAUACGGAGGGGCUAGCGUUGUUCGGAAUUACUGGGCGUAAAGCGCACGUAGGCGGCGAUUUAAGUCAGAGGUGAAAGCCCGGGGCUCAACCCCGGAAUAGCCUUUGAGACUGGAUUGCUUGAACAUCGGAGAGGUGAGUGGAAUUCCGAGUGUAGAGGUGAAAAUUCGUAGAUAUUCGGAAGAACACCAGUGGCGAAGGCGGCUCACUUGGACGAUUGUUGACGCUGAGGUGCGAAAGCGUGGGGAGCAAACA